UUCACAGUUGAUGCAACAUUGCUUUUAUUGGGGGUUUGGGGGACAUAUGACAAAGUCUCAUAAAAUGUCAACAAAGUCACAUUUUGUGCUUGGCUACUCUUUAAAAAAUCCUGUUUAUUUAAAAAUCACUUAAUGAGAACUGUGUGAAAUAUGGCCAAUAAUCAUCAUUUUGAAAAAAGGACGAGCUGAGCCACAAGGAGGUCUAAGUCUGACAAUGCCAGAUACCUAAGUGGAAAUUUACAACAGUCAAAUAUUCAGGUACUUCCAAACAUCUAGAUGUUUGUCCUUAAGCAAUCCCAGCUUAAUUGACUCCUUCAAGACAGAAUUGCAUUUGGAACCUCUGUGUUAUCCACCUGACCAUUUUAUUAAGCAUUACUAAAUGCCAACCAAAUGUAAAGGGGCUGAUAAAGAAAAGUGAAAUUUCCUUAACUCUAGCUUUUUAUUGCCGAAGUACUCUUGAGUUAGUUACAUGGAUAAGUGAGGAUUAAAAUAGCAAAUAACUAUUGAUAUUUUCAAAAACAUAAGAACUAUUGAAACAAUCAUGUAUAAAUAGUCAUCAGAAGCACUUAUGAAUACAUACUGUGCACUAAGUUGAUUAAGAAAAUGCUCUUUAGGAGAUCUGAUUUGUUUGGGUAAACUGAGAAUUCCAAAUAACUUAAGAAUAUCAUUGAAGACAUUGUACACACAACUUGGGCCAUUACGUGUUCUUUGGGGAUGGACUGUUGACAAUUUCUGGAUCUAACGAUGUUAGUUCACAGCUAGCUAUUUGUCCCAUCGAGGUGAGAAGCCAAAGAGGUGCAGAAUUGAAGCCAUCUACUAGGUACAAUGCUCCCUGAUCACGCAGAUAGAACGUUUUCAUUGAUCAAAUUCGAGUUUCUACUUGAACAGGGUGGAGUAGUUCAAGAGCCUCUGAGACUAGACUGAAGGGCCUGGUUUCUGGACCUAGAUCCGCCACACUCAAAUGCGUCAUCUUCCAUAAGUCACUCUAACUAUAUGGAUUUAUCUCAUCUGUGAAAAAGAACAUUACAGUAGAUGACCUUUAAGCUCUCCCACCUCCCUUUUAAUUAUUCUCAAGAAUUUGAGAUUUCUUGCAGACCAAAGUGAACACCUCAUUAAAGUCUGGCAAAAAAAAAAAAAAAAAGCCUAAAAUGCUGAAAACCUCUGUUGCCCAAUUUUUUCAAUUUUCUAUCAUGAAAAUACAUUCUAUUAUUCAAGUGUUUUAACCAGAAAAUUAAAGUUUUUAUGGGAUAAUUAAAUAAAGUAACUAUUUGUUUACCAUAGAAAAACAUCAAAGCGUACAGAAGAAGUAGCAAUAUGGUGACAUUGACCACAACAUUCUGACUUCAUGCUUUAGAUAGAUCGUGAGCUUUGCAAUCGCAAUUCUGAAUAUAAACCCUGUAUACGGCACUUUGGCAAGUUACUUAAUCUCAUUAAACCUCAGUUUUCUUAUCUGUAACAUAGGGAUAAUAACACCUAUUUUGCAAGAUUGUUGGGAGGCUUAAGUGAGUUAAUAUGUAAGAUGCUUAACAGAUAGUGAGAACUCAAUAAAUACCAAUUACUAUUAGCUUAACAGAAAAAUCGCAAGUUCUCCUUAUAAUCACCAAUCACUCUCAUUUGCUUUAAUGGCAGAGAAAUGCAAUUACAAUUCUAGGUGAAAUCUGGAGUGGGAGAGGGGAAAUGUGUGUGCAAAUUCUUUACCAUAUAUGUAUAUAUAUGUUGGCAUUGAAUGUCUGAGGUGAAGUCAACUAGAUGUGUGUAUUCAUAAUUCCUAAACUCAGCAAGCAGGUUCCUUCUUCCAUGGUUUUGCUCACAAAACUGAUCCAUCUGAAGGACUCUGUUUUCUCCUUCCUUUCCAUUUAUCUGAAUCUUUAACAUCCUUUGAGAUUCAUCUUAUAUUUUCCUCCUUUGGGAACUUUCUUCCUAAACAGACCAGUUUUGUCCAGCUCAUGGUGACCUCCUCUAAGCUCCUUGUUUGUAUCCUUUAUUUUGUUUUGGUUUUGCUCUUAUCGUCUAUUGACCCAAUUUGUUACUUAUCUUUUCAAAAGUUUAUGUACCUCUGUCUGACUAGAUUUAAACUCUAGAAGUAGUAACGAUGUCUCACAGAACCUAGCUUACUUGAUUAAAAAAAUGGUUGAUUGUUGGUGUCAGGUGGAAUAAUUUGAUAUUUCUAUGCUGCAUUAUGAGUGUUUUACACCGCUAUUUUAUCCUUUGGAUUGCCUCUGACUCCGUUGUUAUUUCGAAAGUACUUUAUUUUCUCUAGGUUACUCUUAAGAUCAAACUCUGUGUGUGGCUAAAAAUCAAUCUACUUAUAGCAUUAAUUUUGUUAUAACAUUAACACAUUUGUGCCAUUUUUGAUUUUAAAAUCACUGCAUUAAUAAGCAUGUUCAUACUAGGAAAAAUUUUAAAAAGUGAAUGUCACACCGAAUUUAAAUACAAACAGAGGAAUACACACGAGGAAGGGAAAGUCCUUGGCUCCUUAGAAAUCUAAUCUAGAUGUUGUUAAGUUUUUCCGUUUCUUGAAAAGAUUGCCUCUUGUUCUGAGAGUUCUGUUGGCUGAAACUGUCCCAUUUGGGUGUGCUGCUUAGCAGGAGAGGUUUCUUCAGGUGAUGGCUUUCUUUGUUUCAACUUCAUAGUUGGCUUGCGCGUCCUUCAGUGCAUCGGUCUCUGUAGUCUUUGUCCUUUCACUGGGGAGACAUUCCUGGGGGGGGGGGGGCUAUAGGAUCAGCUGAAAGGAACAUCAACACAACUAAAAGAAUAACAGAACAUGUCACGGAAAGUUAUCACAUUGACUCUUUAAUAAAAAUAAAUAAAUGUAAUGAUACUUUGGAGGCUAUGCUGUUUCUAACUACAAGUGAAAUUCUGCAUCACCGGAAAAAUGUAGCUCUUUCUCAUUGUUCACUUUGCUCAAGAAUUGGUCAAGCAAGUGUAUCGCUUGAGUGUGUGUGGGAGCACCACUUAAUUGCUCUGGGAGAAAAUGCUCCAUCAGAAAAACUUCAGGUUUAUCCAACAGGCAACUUACUGAAAUAGGACACGCAGGAAAACAACAAAAGAACACAGGACGUUAAGGACACACUCAAAAAAUCUGAAGACUAAACACAAAAUAAAAUAACUGUGAGUUCAUAAGUGCUGAGCAAUGCAGGAGUGAAUGAAGUCACUAGAAUGAUUAGGAGUUAAUGUUAAUUCCUCGUAUUUGUCUUUGUAUUUCUAGUGCCUCGCUCUGAGCAUGACAUGGUACCCACUGAAAGAAAGAAUGAAAGAACAAAAGGGAGGGAGGGAGGGAGGAAGGAAGGUAGGCAGGAAAGAAAGAAGAACAGAGAGAGAAAUAGUGAAGGAGGAGGGAGGGGGAGAAAGAAAAGAAGAAAAGAAAGGUUUCCAAAAUGCAGACGGGCCGAGAGACAGAGUGUGCAGAGAGAAAGGCAGGGUGCGAGCAAGUUCAAAGACUUGGGAGCCAGGGACGGCAGGUUCACUUAAUUCAAAAAGAGAUUACACAUUCAGAGUGGUUUCAGAAAAUGCGGUGGGACAAUUUUCAGGAGGUUUUGAAAACGUUAGGAUUUAAUCUGGGAAGUGUGCUGUAUUACUGUAACUAUCGUAGUAACACAAUUUAAUGAAUCAAGUGGAAAGGGAAUUGUGAAACUCGAAGGCAUCAACCCAACGGGAAAAAACAAACCAUAUUGCAAGAAAUUAGACGAAGACAGAAGGACUAAAGAAUAUGGUCUUAAAAUAGAAAGGCAGGUGCUUGUCUGGGUUUCUUCUAUGUUAAUGUUAAAGGAAAUGGGCUUAGAACUCAGAUCAAGAAUUUCCUUCUCCCACUGUGUAGCUUUUUUCAUUCCUCAGCUGUUCUUCUUUUCUGACACUGCCCUUCCUGAAAAUGAACUUCAGUCUUUACUGUUUUAGCAUCAAGGCAAAGUAUGUUAGUAAAUACAGUACCUGGAGGUGGAAUCAAAUAUAACUUGAAAGGGCAACUGUCGGUACAAACAGACUCUGGAUUCAAGGGGUCUGGAGUUGUUCUUGUACCUCUAUACUUUAGAAUAGUUUCCAAAAUUUUUAGAACUGUAAAAGAAUUUAGAGACCAACUAAUCCAACUCACACACGUUACAGAUAAGGCUGUUUGGGAAGAGAUGUAUUAAUGUUUCUUUUAUUUUACAAAAGUUAUUAUGAAUGAAACACACUUUGCAGGUGGAUUUUAAUUUAACUAAAGUGUUUAUUGUCAGCCUCUUCAUUAUGCCAGCACAAUGGAGAUGCAUAAUGAGUUAGGCACAGCAAAAGGGACACACUACCACAUACCACUGCUUUCUGCCCUAAACGCUUUGGGUACAUUGAAGAUGUUGCUUCUCUAGAUGACAGGUAUAUUUUUUCCCCUAAAACCUGUAAAACAACCUACUGUUAAAUAUUGUUAAUAGGUAUUUUUCUGUUCUGAUCAAGCAUGCAAUAACUGAUCCCGGAUGAGUAAUUAAAUAUACAUCUUACAGAUUUUAGAAUUCAUUAUUUUGUGAACAUAGAGUGAGAGGGUGGGGUGCUAAGCUUUUGAUACACGUAUGAAAGACUCAUUUGCAAAUAAAUUAAAAUGCUACUGUAGUAAGGAAGGAUGUUUCACAGAAUUUUUUGGUGACUCCUUUGCAUGGCUAAUAAUGGAAAGUCCUUGUAUACAUGAGCAGAUGAAAAGUAAACCAAUGUAUUUCUUUAGUGUUACAUAGAGACGGCUCAUGUAAAAUACCUUUUUUAUAAUAUGGACCCCAUUAUUAAAAUAAAUUUUGAGAAAUAAAUAGUAUAAAUAUGUGAAACACCAUAUUCUAGGUGUCUAUUAUAAGUCAAAUGUUUAACAAACCAGCUUUCUUUGGAGCCUCUGCCUACUUAAUUGGAAUGAGUAAUAUCUUGUAUCAUCUCAACAUGAGCCUCCCUUGGAAUCCUUUUUGUCUCCUGAACAUAUAAGCAUAAAUUGGGAUCCUUGCAUCGUCUUGCUUAGGGUCCCUCUGUGAUCUGAUGGUAAUGAUUCUCUGAAUUUGCAUCAAGAGCAUCUUCUCCUACUGAGCACAUAGCAAGUGCCAAGUGCCAGGCUGACCAAUCAACUCACAGGUGCUCUGUCUGGCAUCUUCCUUAAUAGCUAGAUCUUCAGGGGUCAGCUCCUUGGAGGAGGAUCUCCAGUCCAAGGAGACCCCAUGUCGAGACACCAAAAGGGAAGUUGAUGUUAGUGCACAAAUGACCUAAGGCAGAGAUUCAGUGAUUCAUCAUGUGCCAUGCAAAAUGGAGGAAAAAUAGAGAAGAAGUUGUUUAUUAUUGUUAUGAUUUUGAUUGCUUUGAUUAGAUUAAAAUUAUUAUCUCUGCCUAAGGCCAUUUCCCUGGCAUUUUAUCUCAUUAUUCCAAUAAAGGAAAUGGAUUUCCUAUGAGUAAGAUUUACUAUUCUAAUAUUCUCCAUUACUUCGAGUCGUCCAAAGUCAGGAUGAAAACGAAAUCAGUAAAGAGUAGCAAAUAUUUUACAAAUAACUCAAGUGUCCACAAUGACAAUCCUUUUAGAGAUCAUUAAUUUCCAACAUCUAGGUCACACGCAUUUAUUCUUGCCUGAGAAUGCUAACUGUAUAGUCCUUUUAUCCUUAUACUCGUUAACAAGAAUUUUUUUUAAAAGCUGACUUUAAAAACAUUCUACUCAGGAGCCAUUUCAAAUGAUGAGAAAUGCCCAAGGAAAAAAAAUCUCAAGUAGGCAACAUGUAAAGCAACACACAACUAUAUGCGCAUUAGUAUAAUUACACAUUGCAAAUGAUAUCGGAUGUAUCUAAUAUCUAAUUUUUUGAAAGCUGAUUCCACUUGAGAUUUCAAUAACAGCAUCAACAUUUUGCAGGUGGCUCCUUCUGUAUAGUAUCCAAAGGGAAUUAUUCCUCUAAUGUGCUUCAACCCUCAAGUAAAAGCUGAAGCUCUCCCUUAAAGAACCAAUGAACAAUGAACACCGAGAAUAUUACCUUGAUAGAUAAAGCAAGGGGGGAGGGUGCCACCAAACAUGGAUUCAGCAUGGUUAUUUAUUCUAUUCCUUCUGUGCAUAGGGUCCUUAUUUGCUUCAAGUAAUAAGAAACAAACUUAAAUACAAGCCUCUUUAGAAAAUGUGGAGGAGGCUUCAUAUAUAUAUAUUCUGAGCAAUAAUAUGAAAAGCUAAGAGGCUGAUGGUUUUUUAGAUCAACUGAUAAAAGAGAAAUGUGCAGUUGAAUGGCAGAUUAUACCUUUGACUGAAAACAGAGAGCCCGACAAUAAAUUCCGCUCUUAUAAAACAUACGAUUAAUUUGUCCUAAAUAGGAUGCUGGAUCAAACCUCCAUUUUGAGGAAUAAGCUUUUGUCCUCAUCUUUCUGAAUCAAUCAUCAAAUAACCAAAUAUAUAUUUUUGAUCUUGGAGAAUGGAGCAUAUUAUUCAAGUUGAUUGGAUCCAUUUUCUUGAUUCCUCCUUAAAGAUCUUUCUGCUAAUUAGUCAGGGUUACUAUUGAAUUAUUUAAUUAUCUGCACUUCUGUGCAAUGAAAUAUGUUGUCAUAUCACAUACUUUAUCAUGUUGUUGCUGUUCACACUUAAUGAUCCCUCUAUAGUUAGCAGAGUCCUUUGUUCUGCUCAGUAAGUGGUUCUAGAAAGGGGGUGGGCCCAGAAAGGAGGAGCCUUGGGGUUUGUAAAAUAAAAUCAUACAUUCCUGGUGCACAUGCAAAACUUUAUGCAUUUACAUGAAUUUCCUUUCAGAAAUUAAGUUGCAAUUCCAUUUGGAAUCAGCUAAGAGGCACAUGUCGGUGACUUCGAAUGCAGCCAGAACGAUAUGACUGUACCUUGAACAUCUCUCCAGUGCAUUUCCACUGCAGUGCAAUGGUAAAACGACGAUUUAAUUUUUUUUUUUUAAUCAGCAAGGAAUGUCUUUAACAAGAAAGAAGUAAAUUAUGAUAAUUACUCUGAAUGGUCGGAUCCUUGAGCAUUACUAAUUAGCAUUUAUUGCCUGGAUUAUAGAACAAUACAUGUGAAACCGAACUGCGAUUGCUCUUUUACGUUGAAGAACUGAAAAAGGCAGGGGAGCAAGAAGGCAGCACCAUGAGUAGUCGAGUCAGUAGUUUACGUCUCCUGGAUAGUGUGUAGAACACCUCACUUUUGAAAUACACUAAUGUGGUCCUCAAUCUUGAUAGCCCAUUCCUUUUUUGUGUUGGGCACAUAUUUAUAUGUGAUAUCCUAGGCAUGGGGGACUAAUGAGAGGAGAAACAUUUUGGCUAUGAUGUCAUUUUGGGACAAUUUUAUCCAUUGUGAGAGUUUAACAAUAAAGAGCAUAAAACUCAUCAUUUCAUAAAAGUAUAAAUUUUUCUGUAAAAAGUUUGACUUAAAAAUGAAACAAAGAACUCAGUUCUUGGUGAAUGAAAUUUUACAUGUACCUCCCCACUUUCUCUUAGGAGGACUACACUUGAAAAUAAUUGAGAAACGGCAAUUGGUUUCAGGCUUAAGAGUCUUUUUUCAUUAGGAAUUUGUAAUAAAAUAGAUUCUGAAACUAGAAAUAAAUGAGAUAUUAAUCAACAGACCAACAUCAAUCAUGUAAAUAAAUGCCACUCAUAUAAUUUGGCAACUGAAAUGCCUAAAUAACCCGGUAGGUAGGAGAGAAAGAGAGGAAAAAUUAACCAUUCAUCAUUUUUGCUGCAGUCUCCCUGUUUUCUUCCACACCCCAUUAUAGCGAAUGAAGAGAAAAGAACAUCGUAAAAUAUAAAGCCAGUAGUAAAUACGGUCGCUAGUCUCCCCAGUACCUUCCAUGGAUUCCCUACCCUGAUCCUUUUUAGUUUGAAAGAAUAAGUUUGACUAAAUCUGUGAGGAGAUUAAACAGGCUGGUGAUAAAAAUUAAUUCUGCUGAAUGAGCAAAUGCAUUUGGAUUGCAGAGAUGCAAAUAAGAUAAUACUUUUCUGUUCCUUUGACAUACCAAGCGGAUUACUUUAGAAUGUUAAAUUUGAUUUUAUUAGAAUAUAUUAGCAGUGUUUUAAUUAAUACCAAUCAAACAUUUUCUUUCCCUGAGGCUUGAUGUGUUCCUAACGCUUUCUAAAUCAUCUGUCCUUUAUCCAUCCAAAAACCCCCCACAAAAUUGCCAAAGCCUUUUGUUACAUUCUUCAUAAUUUUACUGUAUUCGAUAGAAAACUACAAGCUGUUUACCUAAAGGUGUCUUGCCCAUAAAAUUAGUUCCCAGGUGCUGGGUUUAAAAUGAGUACUAUUCAUUAGUACAGUUGAUUUUUUAAAAACGUGGAAUUAGAGACUCGAAAAUAAACAUCUUCUGUGUUUUUCUUUUGGGGAAAAAUGUUGCAAAAGGAGUUUUGGCUGGUUCGUAUGACUUGGCUUUAUUCUCACUAGAGCUUCCUAGAGCUGUUAAAUUUCCAACUGCAUUGGUUUUGAGCUGGCACUUCUUUGGAAACAGAGGCAAAAAAGGAAUUAAAAAAAAAUGCGGGGGGAGCAUCUAGUUAAAAAUACGGUGAACCAGUGUGCCCUGUGAACUGAAUUGUAACUGUGUGUUCCAAGGAGGUGCGCAUUGCAUUUCUCUCAUUAUCCCCUCCUUUUCUCUCAAGCUUCCUGUCCUUCUGUGUCCGAAAGCUCCAGUUCACUUCUUUCUCUUUUCUUCCUGCAAUGCACCCCCCCCACCCCUCAAUUCCCCGCCUUAUUUUUUUUUUUAUCUGCCAAGCUGGAUUUGCACUUUUAAAGAUCAGUAUCAAUAAUGCCCUGCUUGUUUCGGUUGCACUCUCCCUUUAAAAGACAGCCCCCUCUAAUUGAUGCGUCUGGGCUAGUCUAGACUGGUAGUGAUUGAACCAACCACCAAUUAUGUUAUUCAUUUCACUGAACUUCACUGAUGGGCUUGGUGAAGAAGAAGGGGUGUUGAGAAACCUGCCCUUACUGAAGCAGUUCCCUGCUGAAAUAUAAAAUCUUGCGUGUCGUUAUGCACUCGUAAGUGGCUAUGUGAUCAGUUGUAUGAUAGCAACCUCAGAACACGAGCAAUCCACUUGAAAACACGUAAAAAACCAAAAGAGUGCCUUGGAAUUACAAAUUGUAUCACUUGUAUUAAAUUACUAUCCUGCUAUCAUUUCAAAUCACAGAAGAAUUAUAUCUAGGAUGCUUUUAUUGAUCCAUGCAUACAUUUGCAUAGAAUAAGCUGCAGAUAAUUUUGACUUCCAAAAGCACCAAAUGUUUUGCAAAUAUUUGAUAUGAAUCACGUAGGAAUAUAUAUCCAUAAGUUAAAUAGAUGCCUUUCCAGAAUUUCCAAAUACCUAUGCAUACUCGUCAGCUAAGAUGGAGGAAAAUCAUUAAUCUAUUGUAGAGAAACCAAAAGAUGACUUGAAAAUCAAGUAACUCUUUCCUUUGAAGCUCAAUCUGACUAUCAAACCUGGAAAGUAAUAUUUAAAUAAUAUAACUACACAAGAGGUUUCAACAAAAGGCAUGGUGCAAUGUUGCACAGUUCAUCUUCUCAAUUCAGUUUUCUGAUACAAAAUGGUUUCUUGACUACAAUUUGGAGUCAAUGACUAAAAUUGCAAUAAACGCCUGAAAAAAAGCAACAGGAAAAGAACAGUUUCCUUAACCUUCGACUACACGUAUAAAAUGAGGUUACAACCAAUAUAAAGUCUUUAAAAGAAGAAAGCAUUUGAAGUCAGGGCUGAUUUAGGUAUUUUCCAAAAUAGAAGACAAAUGUUUGCCCAAGAAUACAAAAAUUGUUUAAAUGAAAUUGCAUAUUGGAAUUUUUCACAACAAAGGAAAGAAAAAAGUUCCACCAAAUUUCCAGGAUGCAAAGGCACGACUCGCAGCUCCCAAGAGCCUAACCCGUG
rnacentral:lncRNA from 1 species